rnacentral:rRNA from 1 species
GGCGAACGCUGGCGGCGUGCUUAACACAUGCAAGUCGAACGGUGAAGCGCCUUCCUUUUUGGUGGGUGUGGAUGAGUGGCGAACGGGUGAGUAACACGUGAGUAACCUGCCCCCUUCUUCUGGAUAACCGCAUGAAAGUGUGGCUAAUACGGGAUAUUCUGGGUCUGUCGCAUGAUGGGUCUGGGAAAGAUAUUGUUUCGGUGGGGGAUGGGCUCGCGGCCUAUCAGCUUGUUGGUGGGGUGAUGGCCUACCAAGGCGGUGACGGGUAGCCGGCCUGAGAGGGUGGACGGUCACACUGGGACUGAGACACGGCCCAGACUCCGACGGGAGGCAGCAGUGGGGAAUAUUGCACAAUGGGCGCAAGCCUGAUGCAGCGACGCCGCGUGAGGGAUGGAGGCCUUCGGGUUGUGAACCUCUUUCGCCAGUGAAGCAGGCCUGCCUCGUUUGUGGGUGGGUUGACGGUAGCUGGAUAAGAAGCGCCGGCUAACUACGUG